UACGAAGGGGGCUAGCGUUGUUCGGAAUUACUGGGCGUAAAGCGCACGUAGGCGGACUUUCAAGUCAGGGGUGAAAUCCCGGGGCUCAACCUCGGAACUGCCUUUGAUACUGUUGGUCUCGAAUCCGGUAGAGGUGGGUGGAAUUCCUAGUGUAGAGGUGAAAUUCGUAGAUAUUAGGAAGAACACCGGUGGCGAAGGCGGCCCACUGGACCGGUAUUGACGCUGAGGUGCGAAAGCGUGGGGAGCAAACAGG
rnacentral:rRNA from 1 species